rnacentral:rRNA from 1 species
UACAGAGGUCUCAAGCGUUGUUCGGAUUCAUUGGGCGUAAAGGGUGCGUAGGCGGGCAGGUAAGUCCGUGGUGAAAUCUCUGAGCUUAACUCAGAAACUGCCAUGGAUACUAUUUGUCUUGAAUAUUGUGGAGGUGAGCGGAAUAUGUCAUGUAGCGGUGAAAUGCUUAGAUAUGACAUAGAACACCAAUUGCGAAGGCAGCUCACUACACAGUCAUUGACGCUGAGGCACGAAAGCGUGGGUAGCGAAUGGG